rnacentral:tRNA from 1 species
GGAGAGGUGCCGGAGCGGUCGAACGGGGCGGACUCGAAAUCCGUUGUGCGGCCCUGCCGCACCGAGGGUUCGAAUCCCUCCCUCUCCGCCA